rnacentral:rRNA from 1 species
UACGAAGGGGGCUAGCGUUGCUCGGAAUCACUGGGCGUAAAGGGCGCGUAGGCGGCCAUUCAAGUCGGGGGUGAAAGCCUGUGGCUCAACCACAGAAUUGCCUUCGAUACUGUUUGGCUUGAGUAUGGUAGAGGUUGGUGGAACUGCGAGUGUAGAGGUGAAAUUCGUAGAUAUUCGCAAGAACACGGGUGGCGAAGGCGGCCAACUGGACCAUUACUGACGCUGAGGCGCGAAAGCGUGGGGAGCGAACAGG